CUCCACUUCCCCAAAAUGCUUUGUAAUCUCACGGGAAUUCUGAGGUGGGCAGAGAUCAAGGAAGGAUUUAAGCUGGUGGCAAAGGUCUUCUAGGGAUCUUGGACUUCCGUUUUGGGGCAGGCGUGGCUUUUUUUCAUAAUGACUUUGCAAUUCCAACAGAACACAGAAAGAGAAAAAGAGGACCUUCAGAUUCUUCCUCUGAGAGGGUUGACUGAUGAGUCAUAUGUCACCAUACCACCAAACUGCACUGCUGCUAUACUUUCCUGGAACUGGGCCCACCAUAAGGCCCUUUUAUGUGCCUGCCAAUUAUGUUUCUAACCACUAGGGUGUUGCCUUCAAUGACAUGCCAUUUUCAAAUUAUACAAAUGUAUGGAGCUCAAUGGAGUUUUGAUGGAAUUUUUAAUAAGUACCAUGAAUUGGUGUGACUUAUUUGCAUCUUCUGUCACAAACCUGUGGUUAAGUGCAUGCAACAUGAAGCCCAAUCCAGUUGGAUUGAGUAAUGGAGACUUGAGCCAAGUGGUUUCCUGUGCUAACUCUCAUGAAAGGAGCAUUUUCCUGGCUAUAGUCUUCUUCUGCUGGUGGAAAAGCAUGGGUGCAGAAUGUCUGAGACACUUUUAAACAUUAAACCAUGUUGUUCAUGAGUUACUUUUCCAGAGUCAAAAUGGCAAAAGUGGGGAAAAAAUACCCAUUAAAAUAGAAAUUAGAAAAACAGAGUCCCAGUGCUAGCUCCCCAAGUUAAAUGGUUAAUCACUUCAGUAACUUUUUUCAGUAAAAGUUCUAAACCUGUGGUCCAUUAACACCUCCCAAAGAAAUCUGUUGAUAUACUUUAGGUGGGUGGGUGAAUAUGGAUGAGAAAAAAAUGAAUUUUUCCUUCAGUUUAAUAGGUUUUCUUUCUAAUAUUAUGUGAAUUACAAAUUGUUUUAUUUAUUUGAAAAUAUCAUCCUGCCAAAGGGGUCCAUGAUAUGAAAAGAGUAAGAACUCCUGUAUUAAAAACAUAGCAGAUGUUUUUACAGGAAAACCUGCCCCAGCCAGAAAACAGGACUAGUGCUUAUAAAAAGAGCUAAGGUAGGUCAGAGAACUUUAAACUUAGCAAACAUUAAAAACAAGGAUAGUCAAUCAUUUUCAGUUCAGUUUUAUUUUGUCAUUUAUGAUAUUCUUUCCAUUGAUAUUUGUGGUCAUUGUAUAUAUUAUUUUCUUCAUUUCGUUUUGUUAACUUCAUUUUGCUUUAUUUCACAUACCUUCCAAUGAUACAUCUAAUUCUCCACAUUCAUUGUUUCUUAAAACAUAGGGAUAUUCUGUUAACAUCCCUAUACCAUAAUUUGUUUGUUUCAUUUAAAGGUACAAGUUGUAAAAUAAGAAUAUUGGGAUAAACAACACAAUAUAUA